rnacentral:rRNA from 2 species
UCAAGUAGAAAAGGGCGCACGGUGAAUGCCUAGGCACUAACAGCCGAUGAAGGACGUGACGAACUACGAAAAGCUUCGGGGAGCGGUAAGUACGCAGUGAUCCGGAGAUGUCCGAAUGGGGGAACCCAAUGCAGCGAUGCAUUAUUGGUUGAUGAAUAGAUAGUCAAUCAAAGGAAGACGCAGUGAACUGAAACAUCUAAGUAGCUGCAGGAAGAGAAAGAAAAAUCGAUUUCCUUAGUAGCGGCGAGCGAAGAGGAAAGAGCCCAAACCAAGUGAUUUAUCAUUUGGGGUUGUAGGACUGCAAAGUGGUAGCGUAAGCGAUAGUUGAAUUAUCUGGGAAGGUAAGCCAGAGAGGGUGAGAGCCCCGUAAGCGAAAUUGCGAGCGCGCCUAGCAGAAUCCUGAGUAGGCCGGGACACGAGGAAUCCCGGUUGAAGCCGCGAGGACCAUCUCGCAAGGCUAAAUACUAGUUAGUGACCGAUAGUGAACCAGUACCGUGAGGGAAAGGUGAAAAGAACCCCGGAAGGGGAGUGAAAGAGAACCUGAAACCGUGUGUCUACAAGUAGUCAAAGCACAUUAAAGUGCGAUGGCGUGCCUUUUGUAGAAUGAACCGGCGAGUUACGUUAUCUAGCGAGGUUAAGUCAGAAAAGACGGAGCCGGAGCGAAAGCGAGUCUGAAUAGGGCGAAGAGUUAGGUGACGUAGACCCGAAACCAAGUGACCUACCCAUGGCCAGGCUGAAGGUGUGGUAAAACGCACUGGAGGGCCGAACCCACGUAAGUUAAAAAUUGCGGGGAUGAGCUGUGGGUAGCGGUGAAAUUCCAAACGAACUUGGAGAUAGCUGGUUCUCUCCGAAAUAGCUUUAGGGCUAGCCUCGUGGAGAGGAUAAUGGAGGUAGAGCUCUGUUUGGACUAGGGGCCCGUCAGGGGUUACUGAAUCCAGAUAAACUGCGAAUUCCAUAUAUCCAUACACGGGAGUCAGACUGCGAGUGAUAAGAUCCGUAGUCGAAAGGGAAACAGCCCAGAUCACCAGUUAAGGUCCCCAAAUCUAUGCUAAGUGGAAAAGGAUGUGGAGUUGCGUAGACAACUAGGACGUUGGCUCAGAAGCAGCCAUCAUUCAAAGAGUGCGUAAUAGCUCACUAGUCGAGUGGCGCUGCGCCGAAAAUUUACCGGGGCUAAGCAUAGUACCGAAACUGUGGAUGCAUCGAAAGAUGCGUGGUAGGAGAGCGUUCUAAGUGCGGCGAAGGUUAACCGAGAGGAUAAUUGGAGCGCUUAGAAGUGAGAAUGCCGGUAUGAGUAGCGAAAGACAGGUGAGAAUCCUGUCCGCCGAAAGACUAAGGUUUCCUGGGGCAGGCUCGUCCGCCCAGGGUAAGUCGGGACCUAAGGCAAGGCCGAGAGGCGUAGUCGAUGGAUAACAGGUAGAAAUUCCUGUACUGUGUUUAAUCGUUAUGAGCGAUGGAGGGACGCAGGAGGUGAAACACGCAUCGAGCUGGAUCGAUGUUCAAGCAACAAGUGCGGUUAAGAGUCAAAUGCUUCUAACCAGCAACACGAGUUGUGAUGAGUAGCGAAGUAAUAGUAGCGAAGGUGAUGUAAUCACACUGCCAAGAAAAGCUUCUAGCCAGAGAGGACACACCCGUACCGCAAACCGACACAGGUAGUCGAGUGGAGAACACUAAGGUGAGCGAGAGAACUCUCGUUAAGGAACUCGGCAAAAUGACCCCGUAACUUCGGAAGAAGGGGUGCUGGCCACGAGAGUGGUUAGCCGCAGUGAAUAGGCCCAAACAACUGUUUAUCAAAAACACAGGUCUCUGCAAAAUCGUAAGAUGACGUAUAGAGGCUGACACCUGCCCGGUGCUGGAAGGUUAAGAGGAGAGCUUAGCGAAAGCGAAGGUUCGAAUUGAAGCCCCAGUAAACGGCGGCCGUAACUAUAACGGUCCUAAGGUAGCGAAAUUCCUUGUCGGGUAAGUUCCGACCUGCACGAAAGGUGUAAUGAUUUGGGCACUGUCUCAACGAGAGACUCGGUGAAAUUAUAAUACCCGUGAAGAUGCGGGUUACCCGCGACAGGACGGAAAGACCCCAUGGAGCUUCACUGUAGCUUGAUAUUGAGUAUCUUUUAAACAUGUACAGGAUAGGUAGGAGCCAAGGAAGGCAGGACGCUAGUUUUGCUGGAGGCAAUGUUGGGAUACUACCCUUGUUUGAAGGAUGCUCUAACCUCGACCUGUAAGCCAGGUCAGGGACAGUGUCAGGUGGGCAGUUUGACUGGGGCGGUCGCCUCCUAAAGUGUAACGGAGGCGCUCAAAGGUUCCCUCAGAAUGGUUGGAAAUCAUUCGCAGAGUGUAAAGGUAUAAGGGAGCUUGACUGCGAGAGAAACAGCUCGAGCAGGGACGAAAGUCGGACUUAGUGAUCUGGUGGUACCGUAUGGAAGGGCCAUCACUCAACGGAUAAAAGCUACCCUGGGGAUAACAGGCUUAUCUCCCCCAAGAGUUCACAUCGACGGGGAGGUUUGGCACCUCGAUGUCGGCUCGUCGCAUCCUGGGGCUGAAGUCGGUCCCAAGGGUUGGGCUGUUCGCCCAUUAAAGCGGCACGCGAGCUGGGUUCAGAACGUCGUGAGACAGUUCGGUCCCUAUCCGUCGUGGGCGUAGGAAAUUUGAGAGGAGCUGUCCUUAGUACGAGAGGACCGGGAUGGACGCACCGCUGGUGUACCAGUUGUUCCGCCAGGAGCAUCGCUGGGUAGCUAUGUGCGGAAGGGAUAAGCGCUGAAAGCAUCUAAGUGCGAAGCCCCCC